ACAAGUCCACUCAAGAGCAUCAUUUAGAAGAGGGAAAAGGCACUGGGGUUAUUUGUUUUUGGAGUAUGUGCUUAAGGAAAUCUAGAGUAUUCCCACGAGCAUUCUGCUGAGAUGAACAAUCAGAUGACCUCGUGUGAGAUUUGGAGGAGAGAAGGAAAUGGAGAGCAUGCGUCUGCCGCUUCUGUGGUUUCUGUCGGACAGAUUCCUAUAAGUGAAACUGCUGGGCCAAAGAGGAAGCACAUAUAAAACUGUGAUAGUGAAAUUGCCUUCUGGGAGAUUGCACCAAUUUACACUCCUAUCAAGAGUGAUUGGGAAUAUUCAUUUCUCUCUAACUCCACUAACACUGGAUGUUGUCCAAAGUUUUUAUUUUUGCACAACUAAUCAAGGAAAAGGCUUUCUCCAUAUUUACGUGCUUGUAACUCUGGCAUGACCUUUGCUCCAGUCUCUACCAGAGGGCGGUGCCUGGAUUGAAGUGGAAAAGCCCUGUUUUCCAGCCAUGACCCAGGGAGCAAGCACUGACUCCUCAGGGGAACAGGAGACCUGCCAACUAGGACCCUGGGAGCCCCCAUGCUGGCAGUGCCCUGGGUCAUCU
rnacentral:lncRNA from 1 species